rnacentral:rRNA from 1 species
CCUACGGGUGGCAGCAGUGGGGAAUAUUGCACAAUGGGGGAAACCCUGAUGCAGCGACGCCGCGUGAGCGAUGAAGUAUUUAGGUAUGUAAAGCUCUAUCAGCAGGGAAGAAGAAGACGGUACCUGACUAAGAAGCACCGGCUAACUACGUGCCAGCAGCCGCGGUAAUACGUAGGGGGCAAGCGUUAUCCGGAUUUACUGGGUGUAAAGGGAGCGUAGACGGCGGUGCAAGCCAGAUGUGAAAGCCCGGGGCUCAACCCCGGGACUGCAUUUGGAACUGUAUGGCUGGAGUGUCGGAGAGGCAGGCGGAAUUCGUAGUGUAGCGGUGAAAUGCGUAGAUAUUAGGAGGAACGCCAGUGGCGAAGGCGGCCUGCUGGACGAUGACUGACGUUGAGGCUCGAAAGCGUGGGGAGCAAACAGGAGUAGAUACCCUUGUAGUC